GUACGGGCUUGUAUACCUUAGAAGUUUAAGACAGUCAAAAGGGUAGGUCUCACCCGCGCAGAGGUACCUAUUGGCUUCCUGCAACCACGGAGUUGCCACAUGUUACAAGGUGCAAAACAAGUGGGCACCGCUAACGGUUGGAGUAAUAGUCUCAGAACCCGCGAAGAGGGUGGUACUUGCUUGGUCUGACGCCCCCUAGAGGGCGCCAAAACCCUCUUCUGAGCAAUCCAAUGCUUAUUGUAUAUGGCCUUAAUAUGAUCAAUUGGAUGCGCUUUUCUACAAGUAUUUUAAAAUCUAUAAUAAUUGCAUUAAUAAAUCAGAUUCACUGAUAAAGUGUUAACCUUACUCGAAAAUGGAGCAUUCUAUCUUAAGUUUCAAAGGAGUUUACUUGACAAUGGUUCAUUCCCCAAACAACUCAAUGGACGAAGUAAAAACCAAUAAAGAUCGACAAAAUUUUACUUCGCUCAUAAUUAUUGAUAUUUCCUUCGCUUUUCUGACUGAUACGUUAAAUUUUAUGGAUCAUGAUGGAUUAUCAUUUGUUCAUUUACUUGCUUUUUGGGUUCCAAAAUAUUUUCGAGGAUAUAAAAUAAUUUCUUAUCAGAAGAGAUUAUUUUUCUUCACAAUAUAUGUAAUCCACGGCACAAUCAAAAACUACAAAAAACAUAAAUGAUAAGAAAAAAUAAUGAAUUAUUAUAUUACCAUAAAAUAAAAUGAAGUUUAAAAAAAGAAAUUCAUUCAAAAUGACUAGAAUGUUUCUGAGAUUUUAAUAUUCAGUUUGAAUAUCAAUCUUUACUAUGGAAUUAUCUACUUGCAAGAUGCCUCGAAAAGCUUUGGUUUCCAUAAUUGACUCGGUUGCUACGAUAGAAAAAUUUAUAGAGCACUUUUAAGAAGGAAAGUACCCUAAAUAUUCCUCAGACAUUUGGACACAGAUGAGUACUUCUCUGAACGCAAAAUGGUCUUCAGACAACAUCUAUAAUAAUGUUAUCCAAAACAGAAGAAACAUCAUGAGAAUUGCUUGUGAAAAUCAAAAUAUACCUUUUAUUCCUUUCGUAUCUAAAUCACAGCACAUGAACGAUUUAUUAUCUGACUCGAAUACUAGUGAUGAUGACGAUCAAAUUAAUAAAAAUAUUGAUAAUGAUUUCGAAUUUGAAAAUGAAGCACGUGGACUGGAUGAAUUCGAAGUAAUCAUUCUUAAGGAUGAAUGGAAAAGUAUCCAAAGCUUCGAUGUCGUGUAUAAUGAUAACCGUAACUAUAGUAUUUUACAGCGUGGCUGUUGGACUGAUGUACUAGCCGUUGCUAUUUUUCGCUCUACGAAAAUUCCUUGUGCAUAUAGUUUUAAGUAUGCGAGAAUUUAUAAGGCUGUCGAAAGUAAACAUUACUUACGGAUUAGAGGAUAUUGUAAAAGCAAAAGCUGUGAGAACGUCCUGUUUGGUUAUUUGUAUAAAAAACCAGCUGAGGACACUAACGUUACACUUAUAAUAAGGACAAAAGAAACUUGGUGGAAUGAUCAUGAGCCAAUGAAACGUCAUCUAAAAGGAAAAAAACGACAGCAAGUUGGAGAAAAAGCUUUUCAUGAAGGUACGGCAAAUUUCUGCAAACGUCAAAUUCGUGAAGAAACUGACUUCGACGGGCAAAUACCACCUCAUGUCCCUAAUAGUGCUGCAGUUUCACGAGCUAAAGAUGAAUACAUUAAUCGUUUUCUUGCCCUGGUUAAAAAAGAGAAUUAAAGAGGAUUAAAAAUGAAUUGAAUCCUUUUUAAUUCUCUUUAGAGAAUUGAAUAGAAUU